rnacentral:tRNA from 1 species
GGUAGCGUGGCCGAGCGGUCUAAGGCGCUGGUUUGAGGCACCAGUCUCUCCGGAGGCGUGGGUUUAAUCCCACCGCUGCCA